AGUGUGUCGGUUAACCACACAGCUCCACUAGCGACUUUGAGAAUGCAAAUAUCACAAUUGCUAUCUACUUCAAAUCUACUUGGUGGAAGUAUUUCCUCACCAUCAUUUUCAUGAAUCGGAGAGAAACCUUAUGACCCUUAGAUUUUAUGGUAUAUGUGUUCCUUUCCAUGUGAAUUUUUUCUCAAAACAAUAGUCACAAGACAAUAUUAGUGACAAUUCCAAAUUCAUAUGGACUGAACUUGUGCAAUCUUAAAUUCUUGCCACCUGCCAGCUCAAGGGCCUACCAUUGCUUCCAAGUUGUUAUGCAACCAAUUGAAAACUCUAAGAACAUAUAUGCAAAGCCAACUUUAACUAGAAUGGGCACAUAAAUAAAGUAUGUCAACAUGAUAUGUUAUAAACCUCACGUCGUGUGCUAGUUAAGAACUUCAUGUUUUAUUCUUGAUUAGUUCUUGAGACUUUCAAGACCUUUAAGGCUCCCACUGUCCUCUUGACAUAUAAGACUCUCUUGUCAGAUAUUCAAGAGAUAAUGUGGAUUCUAAUCAAGACAGACACUUCNUGGCCUUAGUUGGUCUUUGUCUUAUCCAAAACAUUACAACUUACCAAUUUCAAAUGUACAAGAGUAGAAAACUUUUACUCUUACAUUUGACAAGUGUUUUAAACCUUCUUUAAGACAUGUCACUCUAGUUACAAUCUUAGAGUAUAACUCUAAGAAUUGUUUUGGAAUGAAGUAUGACUCAUCUUCUUGAUUUGACCACUUCAACAAUUCAUAACUCCUCUUCUUAGCUAUCAGAAUGCACUUAGAGGAUGAAUUGUGAUAAGAUCUCUUAAUCCUUAAGAUGAUCAUCAUGAUACUAAAGUACUCUCCCAUCUUUUCAUAUUUGAGAAAAUUUUAUCUUUCUACUGAAGUUGAUUCUUCUUAUUCACUCUGUCAUACAUUGGAACCUUUUUCAAUGUCUCAGAAUUACACUUAAGCUUGUAAGUAUAACCAUAUUUACUGAGCUAUAGUAAAUUAUGAUAAAUAGUCUUAUCGAUAUUUUGUGGUGGACUUAACCAGUGCACAAGAAUGUGUACUCGAUCCCUUAGUCCUUUACUUGACUCACGCAUCCAUGUGAACAAGUAAUUAGUCUUAAUUUUUCUAAUGCUUGAAAGUUCUCAUUCAUCAUGCUAUACAACUUGCAUGAUUCCAAGUCUCGGCUCAAUUGAAACCUUGGGUGACGAGAAUCUUUCCUUAUUUGGUAAAUUUAGACAUUACCACAAAUGAAAGAAUCAAAUUCAUAUUUCCACUCUUGCUCUUAAUUGAAUCCUAUAAGCAACAAAAAUUUUCACAAAUGCCAUUGUAAGGAUAUAUUAAAAUAAAUAAAAUCAAAAAUUUUUUCUUUUAUUUUAAAAACUUUGCGGAAAAACUAUCCUUACAAUGCAAAAGCACAUGGAAACUUUGUUGUUAUCUAUUCCUAAGCAAUAUAUCAUAACUCCUAAUAAGUAGCUCAAGAAUCCGAUCUUCAAACUAUGCGAUAGAAAUCCAUCUUCGCGAUCAGAUUCAACAUAUUCUUUCUUUAAGUUUCUUCAUGUUUUUUUGAUUCUUAAAACAUCAACAUGUGACCCAGUCACAUCAUGUAUCAAGAAUCUCAUAAUAGAAACUUAGCAGAGUUAGAUAGUGGACUUUACCUGAAGUAGAGUCAAAGUUAUUGACUUUAACAUCCUUAGGUAAGAUUGGCAGCUUCGCAACUUAUGCCCCUUCCUUUGGCAAUAUAAACAUAUUGUGGUAAUGGUUCACGAGACUAUCACAGAGUUAGUUUUUCUCUUUACCAUUUGGUCAACCGAGUUGACUAUAGCCGAUCCCUUUCCAUUGGGAAAAGAGAGCGUUAUUGGAUAUCCAAUGUCAUUAUUGUCAAUGUCCAUAAAGUUUUAGGAAGUUGAACUUAGCAAAUAGAUAAGAUCAUUAAGGGUCUUGUCAUAGUCUGUUUCAUAGGAGUCCCAAAGGAACUCACUAUGUGACUUAGAAAUUACUUGAGCCACCAACUUUCUCAAGACUUUGACACCCAACUCUCCCGGCUUGUCAAUAUCUGACUACAUCUCCAAGACGUGAUCACACAUAGGGCUUUGCUUGCCAAUAGGGCUUGAGUGACCUUAAACUUUUCAAGAACUUGUGGGUUAGGGAGAAUAAUUGGAGGAGGUGAAAGAAGUAUGAUUUCCAUGGGACAUCAUCUUCAUUUAGGAAACCUUGUUUCAAGAGAUUUGGGAAGAUCAUAAAUGUCUAAACCAGACAUCUUUUGGGAGAUAUUCAAGAUAGUUGAUUUAAAGUCCCUAAUAUAACACCCAAUGUGAAAUAUUAAGGCUAGGACCCAACACAAUACUUUUAUAACUUGGAAGAGGGAUGUGGUAAUCCAAGCUAUAAAAUAUUUGAAGGUAGGUGAAUGACGAUUCACCAAUUUCCACCAAGAUAAAACGAAAUGUAUUAUUAGGUUUUAAUUGGUUUCAAAACUCCUAGAUUCUUUUGAGAUUCAUUGAACUUUUCAAUGGCAUGUUUCAAUCUCGAGUGUGCCUUUCAGGUUUUGUGAUUGGGAUGCCGAGGAUCACAAAACAAGGUGUGAAGUAACCAUGCAAAUUACUUGGUACCCUUAAGUGUUUACCCCUCAAUCGAUGUGCCGGUUAACCACACACGCUCCAUCGAUACUAUGAUAAACAUUAAGUUACCCUUUGCCUACCUUGUUAAAUACGAGUUAGUGUGCCGGUUAACCACACACGCUCCACUAACCAACUUAAACAAAGUGCAAAGUGUAAUUUCAUGGAUUAGCACCUUAUUCACAUUUUCCUAAGUAACUAAGAUUGGGUAUUAUUAAGAGUUUAGUUACUUAGUAUUUAUCAUUAAUACUUUUAAUGAAGGGAGAAUUAUAGUCCUGUCAAACCCGUUCGGCUAACGACCCUCCACCAGUCAAGCAAGCGGUGGGUGAGAGUGGACACCCAUUAAGUUGCCAUUUUAUAGGCAACAACCUUAUACCCACCUUAUAGACCGGCUUCGUGAAUGAGGCGUACUAGCGGUAAGACUGACUUUACUCUUAUACAUAUAUAUAUUAUUAACUUAUAAUAUUAUAAAGUAUAAGGGUUGAAUUUUAACUUUUAAAAUUCUAAGGGCUAACUUGGAAUUAAAGUAUUCAUAAGUGAAAACUUUUCAAAUUCCAAAACUUGAGGGCAAGUUUUGAAACUAUUCAAAACUAAUUAAUUCCAUAACUUAUGUGUUUAAAGUAGUUUUAAUCUAAAAACUCUUCAAGUUCCAUAACUUGAGGACAAGUUAUGGAAGACUUUAAACUAAUAAAAAAUGUAACUUUUCUUUAUUCUGUAACGACUUAUGGAAUUAAUUAAGGUUACACAUUUUAUUACUUAAUGAAGUGACUCUUGAACCUCCAUAACUUGAGGACAAGACUCUUCAUUUUUUAACCAUUGCCAACUUUUAUGAGUUCUAUGAAACUUAAAUGUGAAUUUUCAUAUAACUUGAGGACAAGUUACAAAAACACAUUUUAGAAUCAACUCUUAGAUUAAAAUGGAUUGAAAACACAUAAUCAAUUAACUUUUCUAUUAAUCUAAGCAACUCAUAAGAACAAGAUAAUUCAAAUCAAACUUUUUCAUGUAAUUAGCCUAAUCACUAAACUAAUACAAAACAUGAAUCUAUUGACAAUUAUCUUUGAAAUUGGAUUAGCAUGAACAUUACCACAUCAAACACAAGUUUAUAGUACAAAAACAUCUUAGGGUAAUGUUCCUAGUCCAUUUCUAGCCAAAACAGUCGAAUAUAUGCUAUCUGGGGGUCCAACCCGGCGAGUUGGAUGCUUCUUGCCUUGGACUCGUCGAGUCCAUCAGUGGACUCGGCGAUUCUAUUGUGCAGACAGCACCAAAAUUCAAAUUUUCAGCUAAUUUUGCAAGUAUAACAAGAAAACAAGUCUAGGCUCUGAUACCACUGUUGGGUUUUGAGCAUUCUAACACUCCUAAGUGUACAUGCAACCCUAAAUACAUUGGAUCUAAGUUUUCUCUAUUAUACAUGCAAAUAUGAACUUUCCAAGGUAUUCAUCCUAACUAGCAUAAUAACAUUGAUUCAUAUGAAUAUCUCAAGUUAGAAUUACAUUCCUCAUUGAUGUAGAAUGUCUUCAUGAAGCUUGAGUGCCUAGUGCCCCAAGUGUGACACCUCAAAUGGUUCACACAACACCAAAUACAUUUGGAAUAGAUUAGAGAGAAACCCACACUUCAUAAAAAUCGGCUAGCCCUUUCACAUAUAAUCUAGUGACCGAUUUUGUCAACAAUAAGAUCUUUAUAUAGUGUCAUAAUUAGGGUAAACCCUAAUUGUCAUGGCUUUCCAUUUCCUUGGAUCCAUGGGUUCAAAUACACCAUGGAGCAUCUUAGGGUUUUAGCCCAACUUGAUAAUCC
rnacentral:lncRNA from 1 species